GACGAACGCUGGCGGCGUGCCUAACACAUGCAAGUCGAGCGAGAGACUUCGGUCUCUAGCGGCGGACGGGUGAGUAACACGUGGGUAACCUGCCUCAUAGAGGGGGAUAGCCUCCCGAAAGGGAGAUUAAUACCGCAUAAGAAGUGGAGGUCGCAUGACCUUUGCUUUAAAGGAGUAAUCCGCUAUGAGAUGGACCCGCGGCGCAUUAGCUAGUUGGUAAGGUAAAGGCUUACCAAGGCGACGAUGCGUAGCCGACCUGAGAGGGUGAUCGGCCACAUUGGAACUGAGACACGGUCCAGACUCCUACGGGUGGCUG
rnacentral:rRNA from 1 species